AUUGAACGCUGGCGGCAGGCCUAACACAUGCAAGUCGAGCGGAUGAAGGGAGCUUGCUCCUGGAUUCAGCGGCGGACGGGUGAGUAAUGCCUAGGAAUCUGCCUGGUAGUGGGGGAUAACGUCCGGAAACGGGCGCUAAUACCGCAUACGUCCUGAGGGAGAAAGUGGGGGAUCUUCGGACCUCACGCUAUCAGAUGAGCCUAGGUCGGAUUAGCUAGUUGGUGGGGUAAAGGCCUACAAGGCGACGAUCCGUAACUGGUCUGAGAGGAUGAUCAGUCACACUGGAACUGAGACACGGUCCAGACUCCUACGGGAGGCAGCAGUGGGGAAUAUUGGACAAUGGGCGAAAGCCUGAUCCAGCCAUGCCGCGUGUGUGAAGAAGGUCUUCGGAUUGUAAAGCACUUUAAGUUGGGAGGAAGGGCAGUAAGUUAAUACCUUGCUGUUUUGACGUUACCAACAGAAUAAGCACCGGCUAACUUCGUG
rnacentral:rRNA from 1 species